AAAGAUUAAGCCAUGCAUGUCUCAGUAUCACUAUAUAACAGUGAAACCGCGAACGGCUCAUUACAACAGGUAUAAUUUACUUGAUCUUGAAAGAAUCCUACUUGGAUAACUGUGGUAAUUCUAGAGCUAAUACAUGCCCUAAAGCUCUGACCUCGCGGGAAGAGUGCAUUUAUUAGAUCAAAACCAAGCGGCUUCGGCCGUCUACCACUGACUUAAAGUAACUAAGCUGAUCGUAUGGUCUUGUACCGACGGCGUAUCUUUCAAGUAUCUGCCUUAUCAACUUUCGAUGGUAGUGUAGUGGACUACCAUGGUUGUGACGGGUAACGGAGGAUAAGGGUUCGACUCCGGAGAGGGAGCUUGAGACACGGCUACCAUGUCUAAGGACAGCAGCAGGCGCGCAAAUUACCCACUCUCAGAACGAGGAGGUAGUGACGAAAAAUAACGAGACCGUUCUCUAUGAGGCCGGUCAUCGGAAUGGGUACAAUCUAAACCCUUUAACGAGUAUCUAUGAGAGGGCAAGUCUGGUGCCAGCAGCCGCGGUAAUUCCAGCUCUCAAAAUGCAUAGAAUUAUUGCUGCGGUUAAAAAGCUCGUAGUUGGAUCUGUGCUGGGAACUGGGUCCGCCUUCGGGUGUGCACUCAGCUUCCCGGCUUUUUGCUGGUUUUCCCGUUGUGGCCUUUUCCGGUUGCAGCGGGUGGCUGGCGAGUUUACCUUGAAGAAAUCAAAGUGCUUAAUACAGGCGAUUUGCUUGAAUGAUUGUGCAUGGAAUAAUAGAAAAGGAUUUCGGUUCUCUUUUAUUGGUUUUACGAGCUGAGAUAAUGGUUAACAGAGACAAACGGGGGGCAUUCGUAUCGGUGCGGGGAGAGGGGAAAUUCUUGGGACCGCAGCGGAGACGAAACUACAGCGGAAAAGCAUUUUGCCCAAGAAUG
rnacentral:rRNA from 1 species